GCCUGCUUGGUCCAGUGGUUAUGACUCCGGCCUUCACACGCCGGCUGUCCUGAGGUUGAACCUCGGAGUGGGCA